rfam:Triticum urartu cultivar G1812 contig811742, whole genome shotgun sequence.
CAUGGCAUCUUCUGUAAAGAAGUCUGUAAAGAAGAACGAGUAAAGACGUUGACGUUGAAUACCGCUUCCUUGCCGAACCUUAAUUAGUGCCUCAUGCAGUAAUGUCUCUGGUUUUUCUGUACGACAGCCUUCGGGCUAAAUAAACAUCUAAAGGAAUUUGCAAAAUGGCAAAGAUUAAAGGUCAGGUUAAGUGGUUCAACGAGUCUAAAGGUUUUGGUUUUAUCACCCCUGCUGACGGUAGCAAAGAUGUGUUCGUUCACUUCUCCGCUAUUCAGGGCAAUGGUUUCAAAACCCUGGCUGAAGGCCAGAGCGUUGAGUUCGAAAUUCAGGACGGCCAGAAAGGCCCGGCAGCCGUUAAAGUUACGGUUAACUCAUUUCACUCCGCCUCGGUGCAUUGCACCCUGACAUGAAAUCUCAAAGCCCUGGCUUCUCAGCCGGGGCUUUCUU